GUCCCUAUGGUGCAAGGGAUACCGCGUUGAACUUCUAAUCCAACGGUCGUGGGUUCAAAUCCCACCUGGGAUG